GUCUCAGUAGCUCAGCUGGAUAGAGCAACGCCCUUCUAAGGCGUCGGUCGGGAGUUCGAAUCUCUCNNGUCGGGGGUUCGAAUCCCUCCUGGGACGUCA
rnacentral:tRNA from 1 species